GCCUGGCUGGUUCAGUUGGUAGAGCAUGUGGCUCCUGAUCUCAUAGUCAUGAGUUCAAACCCCAUGCUGGUCA
rnacentral:tRNA from 1 species